CCUACGGGAGGCAGCAGUGGGGAAUAUUGGACAAUGGGGGCAACCCUGAUCCAGCCAUGCCGCGUGUGUGAAGAAGGCCCUCGGGUUGUAAAGCACUUUCAGUGAGGAAGAACGCCUGGUGGUUAAUACCCAUCAGGAAAGACAUCACUCACAGAAGAAGCACCGGCUAACUCCGUGCCAGCAGCCGCGGUAAUACGGAGGGUGCGAGCGUUAAUCGGAAUUACUGGGCGUAAAGCGCGCGUAGGUGGCUUGAUAAGCCGGUUGUGAAAGCCCCGGGCUCAACCUGGGAACGGCAUCCGGAACUGUCAAGCUAGAGUGCAGGAGAGGAAGGUAGAAUUGCCGGUGUAGCGGUGAAAUGCGUAGAGAUCGGGAGGAAUACCAGUGGCGAAGGCGGCCUUCUGGACUGACACUGACACUGAGGUGCGAAAGCGUGGGUAGCAAACAGGAUUAGAUACCCUUGUAGUC
rnacentral:rRNA from 1 species